UACGGAGGGGGCUAGCGUUGUUCGGAAUUACUGGGCGUAAAGCGCACGUAGGCGGAUGUUUAAGUCGGGGGUGAAAUCCCGGGGCUCAACCCCGGAAUGGCCUUCGAUACUGGACGUCUGGAGGUCGGGAGAGGCGAGUGGAAUUCCGAGUGUAGAGGUGAAAUUUGUAGAUAUUCGGAGGAACACCAGUGGCGAAGGCGGCUCGCUGGCCCGAUACUGACGCUGAGGUGCGAAAGCGUGGGGAGCAAACAGG
rnacentral:rRNA from 1 species